AUUGAACGCUGGCGGCAGGCCUAACACAUGCAAGUCGAGCGAGCGGCGGACGGGUGAGUAAUGUCUGGGAAACUGCCUGAUGGAGGGGGAUAACUACUGGAAACGGUAGCUAAUACCGCAUACCAUCGGAUGUGCCCAGAUGGGAUUAGCUAGUAGGUGGGGUAAUGGCUCACCUAGGCGACGAUCCCUAGCUGGUCUGAGAGGAUGACCAGCCACACUGGAACUGAGACACGGCCCAGACUCCUACGGGAGGCAGCAGUGGGGAAUAUUGCACAAUGGGCGCAAGCCUGAUGCAGCCAUGCCGCGUGUAUGAAGAAGGCCUUCGGGUUGUAAAGUACUUUCAGCUGGGAGGCGUUACCCACAGAAGAAGCACCGGCUAACUCCGUGCCAGCAGCCGCGGUAAUUC
rnacentral:rRNA from 1 species